CUAUAAGCACCAAAUUAUUGAACACCCCUGCCUAUACCAUGCCAUCUGAAGCCAUGAGGCCCAUCUUCAAGAUGCCUGUUCUACCUCUAAUGAUGGUUUUCCCAUGAUGCAUCUGGCUACCUCGGUUCAGCUACCGGAAGGGAAGGGAUGCAUGAAGGAGGAAAAGAUAACUCUUGCUUAAAGAGCACCAUCCAAUGCCAAGCCAGAGUCAUAAGGAGCAUGAGGGAGUGGGCCUCCAAGGUAUCCUGAGGAAGACUGUCUUAGGCAGAAGCAAUGCCAAGUUCAAAGGCACUGGGGUGUUGCAAGAACAGCAAGGAGACCCGAGCAGCUGGACUGGGAGUGGCAGGAGUUAAAGGAGGCACAGUCUCCCCAUCAUCUGGAAUAUACUCUAGGUCAGAUCUCCGGUUGACCCAUCUGACAUUCAUCUUUUUCAGCUGAGAAUCCAGACUCGAGCAGCCGUGGGGGGAGAAAGCCUUUCAACUUGAAGAAUGUUGAAAGGACUGGAAAAAGAUAUAUAAAUAUAUUCAAUGCACGAAGCCCCUAACAAGUUUAAUAACUACUAAUUCCCACGAUGGUGCACUGUGGAAAGAAGGCUGAAAGGGGCUGAAGAUGCCGCCAGAGCCGUCUUAAGGAAGAAGCCGAAAUUAGCUGGGGAAGAAGGGAGCAAAGGACAUUCCCAGAAUAAAGGGCAGUGUUCCGUGCCGGGGACCUGAAAAACACAGCCAGUUGAGAAAGCUGCCAGAGGUUACACUUGGCUGCAGCAGGUGCGUGGAUGAUAUGUGCAUGAGCAGGGACUUGAAAACAAGGGCCUUUUGUGCUGUUAAAGAACAACAAGAAAGAAAGAAAAGAAACAACAGGCCAAAAUGGAGUCACCUUUGCUAACCACAUCACCAAACAAAAACUUAAUAACCAACAUCAGUGCAGCUUCAGCCUCUCCCAGGAAUGGAAUUUUAAACCGAUCUGUCUGAAAUUUGCUGGUCAAUGCUUAGGUGCAAGUUAGAUCCACAGGAAGAGAGGAAAUAGCCCAAGGAGUGUAAAGCACGAGAGAAAACCUGAGGGCUGGAUUCUGGGAAAAACAACAUUUAUGAGUAAUCCCUAAUGGAGCUCAAGUCAAGGUUAAUGACCACGGGCAGGGCCUGAGUUUCCUGUUCUCGGAAUAUCUGUACUCAAGCACACUCUGGUUCAAGUGGACGUCAAAGUCAGCCCUGGUCAGUGGCACCCGCCACAUCCAAUGCAGCACUUCGAUGGUAGAAGUAAUAUAAGGAGAUGCCACCCCAGGGCCACAGGGACCGAGCAGGGAGCUAGAACGAAAGGUCAUCCUCUAGAGAUGGGCCUCUUCUCCAAAAAUUGUUGCAUACCUGAGACCCCUGCAUCUGCCAAAGCUGAGAAUUCAUCUGCUGGAAGAAAGACAUUGUGAAGCAUGCACUGUCACAAAAAUAAAUACUGUUCCCUUUUCUCUUCCUUGAGACAAACAGGACACCCACCACGAGUCCUGUUUCAUGCUGCCUAAGCUAUCCCACUGGGCCGGGCCGAACCAACCGCGAACCGGCAGGAUCCCCCUGCCUAAGCUAUCCCACUGGGCCGGGCCGAACCAACCGCGAACCGGCAGGAUCCCCCUGCCUAAGCUAUCCCACUGGGCCGGGCCGAACCACCGUGAACCGGCAGGAUCCCCCUGCCUAAGCUAUCCCACUGGGCCGGGCCGAACCACCGCGAACCGGCAGGAUCCCCCUGCCUAAGCUAUCCCAUUGGGCCGGGCCGAACCACCGCGAACCGGCAGGAUCCCCCUGCAGCCGGGCCUGAGCUCGCCCUUCCCGCCACAGGUUUCGGAACUGUCUGAUCUGCAGGAGGACAAAUGCCCUGCCCACCCAGAUAAAUGCAUCUUUAAGGAAGUGCUUGUACAAGCCCCUUGACCACAAGCUGUGGAGGCAGGAAAGCUGUUCUCUUCAGGAUUAGAUGCCGAUGCAAUCCCUGCGGGUGGGAUUAGGAACGUUGCUGGAAGUAGCCCCGUUUCUCCUCCUCUAGAAGUUCUCACGCAGAGAAGUGGUCCCACGGGCUGCUGCAGCCAUCUGACACCCAGCGUGGCGAGGGAGCCAGUGCUGAAACCUACCCUGCCUCCAGACUCCUGGUUACGUCACCUCCCGUAACUGGCUUCGUCUGCCCCCAGCAGCUUUUGCCUUCAGCUCGAGAUGGUGUUCAAGC